GAUGAACGCUGGCGGCGUGCCUAAUACAUGCAAGUCGAACGAACAGACGAGGAGCUUGCUCCUCUGACGUUAGCGGCGGACGGGUGAGUAACACGUGUAUCACCUACCUAUAAUACUGGGAUAACUUCGGGAAACCGGAGCUAAUCCCGUAGAAUAUAUUGAACCGCAUGGUUCAAUAGUGAAAUGCGGUUUUGCUGUCACGUCUAGAUGGAUCCGCGCCGCUUUAGCUAGUUGGUACGGUAACGGCUUACCAAGGCGACGAGGCGUUGCCGACCUGCGAGGCGGAUAGCCGACAUUGGAGCGGAGACAGGGUCAAGACGACUACGGUACGCAGCAGUAGGCAACGGUCCGCAAUGGGCGAAAGCAUGACGGAGCAACGGCGCGCCAGUGAUGACGGUCUCGGGUUCGUAAUAAUCUGUUAUUAGGGAAGAACAAAUGUGUAAGUAAAUAUGCACUGAUUGACGGUAACUAAUAAGAAAGCACCGGCUAACUACGUG
rnacentral:rRNA from 1 species